GCCCAGGUGGCGAAAUGGCAGACGCACUACCUUGAGGUGGUAGCGGGAGCAAUCCUGUGGGGGUUCAAGUCCCCCCUUGGGCACCA
rnacentral:tRNA from 1 species